NNNNNNNGGGGGGGAGGGGGGGGGGGGGAGGGGGGAGAGGGAGGGGGGAGAUGGAGGGAGGAAGAUGGGAGGGGGAGAUGGAAAGGAGGCGGUGGAAGGGAGGAGGUGGAAAGGGGGAGGGAGAUGGAAGGGGUGAUGGAAGGGGGAGAUGGAAGGGAGAAGAUGGAAGUUGGGGAUGGAAGGGGGAGAGGGAGCGGGAUGUGCAGGGCUCAGGGCAGCGCAGGGCAGGAGGCCACCCCGAUGGGGCCAUGGGGACACAGGAGGGACGCGGGGACAUAGGGGACGUGCCUCCCCCCAGCCAUCCCAGUGUGCCCCUCUGCGUCCCUGCGUGGCACACUGCAUCCCAGAGCCUCCCAGUGCCACCCCAGUGCAUUGCAAAGCAUCCCAGUGCAGCCCAGUGCCAUGCCAGUGCCACACCAUUGCAUCCCAGUGCCCCCCCAGGGCAUUCCAGUGGAUGCCAGGGCCAUGCCAGUGCAUCCCAGUGCACUGCAAUGCAGGCCUGUGCCGUCCCAGUGCGCUGCAAAGCAUCCCAGUGCCACCGCAGUGCUUCCCAGGGCUGCCCCCCUGCAUUGCAAUGCAUGCCAAGGACACCCUAGGGCUUUGCAGUGCAUCUCUGUAUCAUCCCAGUGCGCUGCAGUGCCCUCCCGGUACAUUGCAAUGCAUCCCAGGGCCAGCCCAGUGCAUCCCAGUGCAGUGCAAUGCAUCCCAGGGCCAGCCCACUGCAUCCCAGUGCACUGUAGUGCAUCCCAAGGCCGUUCCAGCACAUUGCAAUGCCUCCUGGUGCCCUCCCAGUGCAUCCCAGUGCACCACAAUGCUUCCCAGGGCCAGCCCAGUGCACUGCAGUGCCUCCUGGUGCCCUCCCAGUGCAUUGCAAUGCAUCCUAGUGCCUCCCCAGCACACCCCAGUGCACUGCAACGCAUCCCGGUGCCCUCCCAGUGCAUCCUGGUGCAUUGCAAUACAUCCUGGUGUCCUCCCUCUGCGUUGCAAUACAUCCCAGGGCCACCCCAGUGCAUCCCAGUGCACUGCAAUGGAUCCUGGUGAUCUCCCAGUGCAUUGCAAUGUGUCCCAGUGCCCUCCCAGUGCACUGCAACGCAUCCCAGUGCCCUUCCAGUGCAUCCCGGUGCAUUGCAACACAUCCCAGUGCCCUCCCAGUGCACUGCAACGCAUCCCAGUGCCCUUCCAGUGCAUCCCGGUGCAUUGCAAUGCAUCCCGGUGCCCUCCCAGUGCAUUGCAAUGCAUCCCAGUGCCAUUCCAGUGCAUCCCGGUGCAUUGCAACGUGUCCCAGUGCCCUCCCAGUGCACUGCAAUGCAUCCCAGUGCCCUCCCAGUGCAUUGCAAUGCAUCCCAGUGCCCUUCUAGUGCAUCCCGGUGCAUUGCAACGCGCCCCAGGCCCCCCCCAGCACAUCGCGGCGCACUGCAAUGCAGCCCAGGGCCACGGCGGCA
rnacentral:lncRNA from 1 species